rnacentral:lncRNA from 1 species
GUGUGUCUGUGGAUGAAUGACUCACUGUCUCUGUAUGUGUCCUCCUGAUUUAUCUUCUGUCUUUCUGUGUCUGUCUGUCUCUCUGUCUGUCUGUGUGUGUGUGUGUGUGUGUGUGUGUGUGUGUGUGUGUGUGUGUGUGUGUGUGUGUGUGUGUGUGUGUGUGUGUGUGUGCGUGUGUGUGUGUGUGUGUGUGUGUGUGCGUGUGUGUGUGUGUGCGUGUGUGUGUGUGUGUGUGUGUGUGUGUGUGUGUGUGCCUGCCAGGUGGAACAUUCAAUGCCUGAUCUGCAGAUGGAGUUUGAGGAGAUGGACCCAUACCGCACUGGCUUUGUGAGUCCAGAGGAAUUUAAGGAAGUUCUGAUGACGCUCUGCUCUCAGCUUGAUGAAUACGAGUGUGAAGUCCUCGCUAGGAAGUUUGACGUCAACAGAGACGGAAGGGUCUCCUACAGCGAGUUUCUGAGGCCCUUUGCUGGGCAUAAGCAGGCGUGGAGGAAUGGAUCCAACAUGGCUGCAAUCCUGCAGUCGCACGGAGAGAAUGGGGAUUUGGCUGAGGGGAAGAACACCACCAAAUUAGGAUCCCUGAAUGUCAGGCUCAGGAAGAAGGUCUGGUAUCAAAUAGUAAUUCAUCUGGGCUCAUGCAUCUGUCCGUGACAGCAUAUAGUAUGUUUGUGUGGCUCUACAGACUGUAUGUGUAGUAUGUGUGUGUGUGUGUGUGUGUGUGUGUGUGAGAGAGAGAGUGACUGUAUAUGUAGGUGUGUCUGUGUGUGUCUGAGCUCAUGCAUCUUUGUGUGUGUGUGUCUCCCCAGCUCCAUAGGAAGAGGCGUACCCUGCGGCGUGCGUUUCUCCGUCUGGACAUGUCCCGCUCUGGCCUCCUCUCCGUGUCAGAGCUGCGGGCCGUCCUGAUGCUCUGUGGGGUCUUGCUGGACCAGGAGGACCUCUACCAGAUUCUCUCCCGCCUGGACCAGGACCUGGGAGGCCGUGUGGACUACCGCUCCCUCCUACAGGAGCUCUGCAAACCACCGCUGCAGAGAGACCAAUAGAAGUCAAAGCGUUUCAGUGGAUAGGAUCUUAACUGGCGUCUGUGGGUCAUUGUAACCAGACCGCUAUGUGUUUACUGUAGCAGUUUGGUUUUUAGAAUUACUGAACAAAACUGUAGUGUUUGAGGAGGCUACCUUGACCAUGUGCAAGUCAGAUCAGAACCAGUUUUCACUUUUUGUUUUGUAGCUUAGCACUGUUAUCACAUUCCGGGACAUCUUUGCAGAACAGUCUGCGUUUAUAGCAGGAACAAUUUUUAAAUGUAACAGUGGGAGACGUGAUGAUGAUAGCCCUUGAGGUGGAAACCAUGUGGUCACUAUCGACCUGUGAAUAGGAAUACAAUGCCUUCAUAAGCAUUUAUGUAGUAAUCAUGAUAGUAUGUACCUGUGAAUAGGAAUACAAUGCCUUCAUAAGCAUUUAUGUAGUAAUCAUGGUGGUAUGUAGCUGUGAAUAGGAAUACAAUGCCUUCAUAAGCAUGGAUGUAGUAAUCAUAAUAGUAUGCAGCUGUGUUACAAGAAAGCUUUGGUUGUUACUACACAGAUGUUCCCCUCCUGACACCUGAAAUUGUGUUGAAGUUGCCCUAAACUAAAAUGUGUUUGCACACUUUGCAUUCACA